UGAGGAAUAUUGGUCAAUGGGCGAGAGCCUGAACCAGCCAAGUAGCGUGCAGGAUGACGGCCCUAUGGGUUGUAAACUGCUUUUAUGUGGGGAUAAAGUGCGUGACGUGUCAUGCAUUGCAGGUACCACAUGAAUAAGGACCGGCUAAUUCCGUGCCAGCAGCCGCGGUAAUACGGAAGGUCCGGGCGUUAUCCGGAUUUAUUGGGUUUGAAGGGAGCGUAGGCUGUCUAUUAAGCGUGUUGUGAAAUUUACCGGCUCAACCGGUGGCUUGCAGCGCGAACUGGUCGACUUGAGUAUGCAGGAAGUAGGCGGAAUUCAUGGUGUAGCGGUGAAAUGCUUAGAUAUCAUGACGAACUCCGAUUGCGCAGGCAGCUUACUGUAGCAUAACUGACGCUGAUGCUCGAAAGUGCGGGUAUCAAACAGG
rnacentral:rRNA from 1 species